rnacentral:rRNA from 1 species
GAAAUGCGAUAAGUAAUGUGAAUUGCAGAAUUCAGUGAAUCAUCGAAUCUUUGAACGCACCUUGCACCCUUUGGUAUUCCGAAGGGUAUGCCCGUUUGAGUGUCAUUGUAAUCUCACACCCAAGACUUCUUGUCGAGGGAGGUGGACUUGGACGUUUUGCUGCGUAACUGCGGCUCGUCUCAAAAGUGUCAGCGCGGCUCUAGAUGAAGCGUUUGAUGCCCAGUGUAAUAAGUAUUUCGCUGUGGUUAGCAUUAGUCUAGGGUUGUUGUGCUCUCUAAUCGUCUUCGGACUGGACCAGCGAUGGUUCAUUUGACAACUUGGCCUCAAAUCGGGUAGGACUACCCGCUGAACUUAAGCAUAUCAAUAAGCGGAGGAAAAGAAACU